UCCUGGCCUCAAGCAGUCCUCCCGCUUCAGCCUCUCAAAGUGCUGGGAUUACAUACGUGAGCCACCAGCCUGGCUUACUUCCAUCAUCAUACCCUGUCUCUGGCUGGCAUGAGAUGGGUGAUGAGAUAGAACUUCCCAUUUUGUGUUCCCAGGACCUGGAGGAAAUCCGCAGGUGUGAAACAAGACAACUGUGGUCCUUAUUUCCCUGUGGGAUGGGUGGGGCUCUAUUUAGGUGUUACCAGCAUAGUAGACAGACAUGUCACCAAUAACCACUCAGUGGCCAGGGCUUUGAUGGAUCCAGAGGGCUGAGGGAGCUGCCCACCCCAGGCUGGAGGGUCAAGGAAGGCUUCUUUCUGGGAGGGGACCCUCAAGCUAAGACCUGAAGAACGAGUAGGAGCUGGGUAAGAGGAAGGUAAGGAAGAGUCUUGAGGAGGAUGGCAGGUACGGACAGUUCUGGUUGCUACAAGCACUUCAGUACCGUCAGGGCGUAGGAAACGAGCUCUAACUUGAAAGCCAUGAUUGGCCUGUGGAGGUUUUGAGAACCUCAUGAAUUUUUAUGCAAUUCCAUGUGCCUCUGUAUUCUCCAAUGCAGUGGUUCAUGGCAUCAUUUGUGGGUUCCAAAAAGGAUUUAUGGCUCCUCAGAACUAAAUAACCACUGAUUUGAUGUUCAAAGGGGGAGCAGAAGAAGAUGGAGCCAGCGAGGUUACCAGGUGCUAGGCCAUGCAGGACCUCCAUAAGCCAUAGUCUGGCGAUGUGGAAGAAAGCCAAGGAGGUCCCUAUUUACCACCCCAGAUACCUAGGCACGGUGCCUAGGCAUUACCAGGAGAGACCAGCAGAGGGCGCUGUAGCCCAGCACAUGGACAUGCAGGGAAAGGCUUCCCAGACGAAAGGCCCUAGCCUCUCCCCACCACCUCCUCUCUGGGGCACUCUAGGGUCCUUUUAGCCACCAACCUUGGUUCCUUCUCUCGUUCUGAUGCCCUACCCGAGAUUCUGAGACUAGUCAGCUUCCCUCCCUUGUUUUUGUUGCCCAUCUCCCCUUCACAAGGCUCUGAGCUCCCACCAGGGAAGAUUGGGGCUGAAUUGGCUUCUCCUGUGGCCCAGCAUUGUCUCCCACAAGGAGCCAGGAACACAGCAUGUACUGAGGGAAUGAAGACGUAAGGUUGCUAAGGAAGGAGGACGAUGGGCCAUAGGGAUGCAAUCUGGAGUCUUUUACCCUGGCUCACUCCUCCAGGAAGCCCUCCCUGCACACCAGCCCAGGCUCUCCCAGCUGACCACUUCAUGCUGGCAGGUCUUUGUUCUCUCUGGAGUGGGAGCUCUGUGAGAACAGGGUCCAGGACUGCCGUGGCCAUAUUGUGUCCCCAGCACUGUCCAGGGCAGCUGAAGAACACAGCAGGUGGCUCACACACACUGGCUGAAACAUGAAGCUCCUGGAAUCCUCAUGAGCCCCAACCACAGAACAGGCAGUAACUGUCCUCCGUGCUGCACACAGGCCAGGUCUGAGGCAGGUGGUCUGUGGAUACCCAGUGAUGAUCCUGAACAAACCAGCCCUGGUCUCUGCCCCAUCAGUCCCACCCAUCCCUCCACCUACAGGCCUGUUCCACGUCCUUUACUCAAAAACUCCUGGAGGGAUUUUAGACCGUGAGAAGUAGAGUACCAGAGAAGCACUUUAAAAAUGAACCAGAUGAUUGUAAACCAGGGACCCUUGUUUAAGUGUGCAUUUUUGGCACCAAAAUCCGGGCCAAGCAUAUGAAUCCCUCAGUAAGUUGGUUUAAUGAAUGAGUAAAUAAUUUCCCUUUAAAAGGCCCCCACCCCAAUUAACGGCCAACUGCAGUUAACACUUCAGGGUUUUAACCCUGCUUCCUUCCUGCUAGGAGGUGCCAUGUCAUUUAUUCAAAGAAAACAAAACGAAACCAAACAAAACAGGGCAAACACAUUUCUUAAUAAGUGCAGUUUGUUAAAAUCAUGUUAAAACAUAUGAGUCAAGGGGAAGUAAAAAUAAAGGGUAUCACUGUAGGAAAAGCUUUUGGGUCUGGCACCUGGGAGACCACUGGAGAGGAGGCAGUGGGAGAAACUUCAAGUUCUGAAGGGAAGGAGCCCCCCAACCUCCCUCCUUCCCUCUCACCCACUGAAUCCCACCAGAAACUACCAAGACGCCCGGAAUAAAAGGUUUCAAGUUCAAUAGUCACACUCUCUCCAAAUACAAAAAGCAGUUACAAUUCAACUGAACACAGAAGCUUGUGUGCAAAGUUAUGGGGAACUGGGGCAUCGUAUAAAAAGUCGGGUUAAAGAUGA